UGGGGAAUUUUGGACAAUGGGGGAAACCCUGAUCCAGCCAUCCCGCGUGUGCGAUGAAGGCCUUCGGGUUGUAAAGCACUUUUGUCAGGAAAGAAACGUCAUGGGUUAAUACCCCGUGAAACUGACGGUACCUGCAGAAUAAGCACCGGCUAACUACGUGCCAGCAGCCGCGGUAAUACGUAGGGUGCAAGCGUUAAUCGGAAUUACUGGGCGUAAAGCGUGCGCAGGCGGUUCGGAAAGAAAGAUGUGAAAUCCCAGAGCUCAACUUUGGAACUGCAUUUUUAACUACCGGGCUAGAGUGUGUCAGAGGGAGGUGGAAUUCCGAGUGUAGCAGUGAAAUGCGUAGAUAUGCGGAGGAACACCGAUGGCGAAGGCAGCCUCCUGGGAUAACACUGACGCUCAGGCACGAAAGCGUGGGGAGCAAACAGG
rnacentral:rRNA from 1 species